rnacentral:rRNA from 1 species
ACGGGAGGCAGCAGUGGGGAAUAUUGCACAAUGGGGGAAACCCCGAUGCAGCGACGCCGCGUGAGUGAAGAAGUAUUUCGGUAUGUAAAGCUCUAUCAGCAGGGAAGAAAAUGACGGUACCUGACUAAGAAGCACCGGCUAAAUACGUGCCAGCAGCCGCGGUAAUACGUAUGGUGCAAGCGUUAUCCGGAUUUACUGGGUGUAAAGGGAGCGUAGACGGCGAGGCAAGUCUGAAGUGAAAUGCGGGGGCUCAACCCCUGAACUGCUUUGGAAACUGUUUUGCUAGAGUGCAGGAGAGGUAAGUGGAAUUCCUAGUGUAGCGGUGAAAUGCGUAGAUAUUAGGAGGAACACCGGCGGCGAAGGCGGCUUACUGGACUGUAACUGACGUUGAGGCUCGAAAGCGUGGGGAGCAAACAGGAUUAGAUACCCUGGUA